AAUAAAUUUAUUAUAGCGGACUCAACUUCUUAUCCGUCACUUCAUCUCAAUCAGGUGAAAAAAUAGUAAUAAAUAUAUAUAUAUUUUUAAAAGAAAUCCUUCUUUAUCUCCUUGUCCUAUCUUGGCACUAUAGCAAAUAGAGUCUGCACACAAAAAAAAGAAAAAAGAAAAAAGAGAGAGAGAGAGAAAUCUCCUUCUCCUUAUUUACAUUACAGAGAGAAAGGUCUUCCCUAAUAGCCAAAUAUAAUCAGAUCCAUUCAAAUAUAGAGGAUGAUUUUAUUUCAAUGUAAGCGAAGAGGAGUAAAGUAAUAUUUGGUAGUAAUUGUUUUGUUUAUCGUAACUUCAUCUUUGUUUAAAAUUUAAAUUCUGUAAAAAAAAACUGUGAUUGACUUCGGCUACCCCUAACUGAAGUUAAUUACAAAAAAAGUAAGAAAAAAUUAAUAAAAUUUAAUCUAUCUCUUACAUCUUCAGCUUCUCGCCAUUCACUUCAUGCCAAACAAACAUCAAUACUACGGAAACUUUAGUUUCACAGCUAUACAAAUAAACAUAAAAAAGAAAGUAAUUUUUAUUUGAACUUUAGAUUAUUCAAAAGUCUAUUUCAAUAUGAACUUCACCUUUGGUGAAAUAAAGACCCAGAGAAAGAGAAAGAGAAAGAGAGAAAGAAAGAGAGAGAGAGAGAGAGAAAGAGGAGGGGGAGGGAGGAAGGAAAGAGAGACUUCGCAGGUUAAGGUGCUUCCUAAAAAUAGAGAAGAUGGUCAUUGUAGAUUUUGUUUUUUUUAGUUGGGAAGAGAGAGAGGUAGAUGAGUGAUCGGUUAAGGUUGGGGAAGGAGAGAGAAGUGGAAGGCGAGUGAGUAAGCAGAACAUCAUAAAUAAAUAGGAUGAGAUAAGGAGAAAAUAUAUAAGUUAUUCAACGAGAAAUUAAGCAUUUUAGUUAAAUUACUAAAGAGAUGUAAUUGAUUGUGGAAGAGUAAGAUUUUAGGAAGCAACUUUUAGGUACUUCUAAUUUUGGGACUCCUAUAGUUAUAAUUCUGAUGCUAAAAAUUAGAAUUAUAUUUUACAAAAAAAUAACCAACCACUUCAUCAAAAAAAGGAGUUAAUUGCAUACAGUUUCUUAUAAAGACAUCAAAUUAUGAAUAUAUUCCUCCCCAAAUUUCAAGUGAAAAAUAUAUCACUCAAAUAUGCUUAUAGAUUUAAAUUUUUCAGUCUAGUUUAGAUAUCCUUUUUUCUUAUUAUUUUUAACUAUUAAUACAUGAACUGACAAUAUUACCUUUACAAAUACGAUCCUCCACAUACUGAAUUAAUCUUUUCUUUCCCUUUAUUCUCUCCACCUUCUCUAUUUCUCCUCUCUUUCUCUUUCUCAAUCUCCGUUGAUCGCUCCUUUCUCGGCUUUGGCUUCGACGGAGGUGGAAGAGGCGACGGGAAGCAUGCUCACCCUUGCUGAGCCUCCACUAUUCAAAACCUCUGCUACUUUUUCAUGAAAUCGUAAUUCUCUCGAGCUCUGUUUUUCUAUUUCUUUCUCUUUUUUUUUUCUUUUUUUAUAAAUGUAAGGAGCAAAAUGGUCAUUUUGCACAUUAGCGAACUAUGAUUAAAUUAUUUAGUUCAACUUUACUCAAUGUUAAAUAAAUUUUACUAGUAGAUUAUAACAGUAUAAACAGAUUUCAACUUAUAAUAUAUUUGAGAAAAAUAUAUUAGCUGAUUUAACUUU
rnacentral:lncRNA from 1 species